UGCAGUCGUGCGACAGACCAGGAAUUGAUUACUUCGGUUUGAUUUUCCUGACGAUGAGCGGCGAACGGGUGCGUAACACGUGAGAAAUCUGCCCUUAAGUUCGGAAUAGCCCUACGAAAGUAGAAUUAAUACCGGAUGUGGCCCAGGGAGGGCAUCUUCCCCUGGCUAAAGCUUGACCAGCAAUGGUUAGAGCGCUUUUGGAUGAUCUCGCGGUCUAUCAGCUUGUUGGUGAGGUAACGGCUCACCAAGGCUUUGACGGAUAGCUGGUCUGAGAGGAUGAUCAGCCUCACUGGAACUGAGACACGGUCCAGACACCUACGGGUGGCAGCAGUCGAGAAUCAUUCACAAUGGGCGCAAGCCUGAUGGUGCGACGCCGCGUGGGGGAUGAAGGGCUUCGGUUCGUAAACCCCUGUCAUCUGUGAGUAAGACUCCCAAUAAAAGCUUGGGAGGUUGAUAUUAGCAGAAGAGGAAGGGACGGCUAACUCUGUGCCAGCAGCCGCGGUAAUACAGAGGUCCCAAGCGUUGUUCGGAUUUACUGGGCGUAAAGGGUGCGUAGGCGGCUAGAAAAGUUUGGUGUGAAAUCUUCGGGCUCAACCCGGAAACUGCACUGAAAACUAUCUGGCUAGAGGAUCGGAGAGGAGAUUGGAAUUCUCGGUGUAGCAGUGAAAUGCGUA
rnacentral:rRNA from 1 species